CAUGCGGAGUGGGCAUGGCGCAUCACAAGGGCCACCCAGAACUGGCUCAACUCCCAUCAAGGAGAUCACCCAACGACAAGGCGAUGACGCAUUCGUAUGUCAUCCAUAUCAACUUUCAAUGCCAUUUACUGCGCCUACCAUGGUGAACACGGGUAACGAGGAAUCAGGUUUCAAUUCCGGAGAGGGAGCCUGAGAAACAGCUACCACAUGCAAGCAAAGCAG